rnacentral:tRNA from 1 species
GUGCCUAUAGCUCAGUGGUAGAGUGCUUGCCUAGCAUGCACAGCAUGCACAAGGUCCUGGGUUCAAUCCCCAGUACCUCCA